rnacentral:sRNA from 1 species
GCUAGAUUUUUUGAAAGUCCCAAGAGAAGUGGUGGUCUUCCCUUCUGUCAUCCCAGUAUAUAUAGUUAUACAUGUAAAUAUCUGAAUACCCCUUGUAACGGGAAGGCUAUGUACAGGGCAGCCUUCCCAAAAGCUGUGAGGGCACAGAGCUGCUGUGGCUGCUCCACCAGGGCAUGCUGGUGGCUCAGCUUUGAGGUUGGACUCCCACAUUCACCUCCCCCUCCGGGUCCAGGCAGAGGCACCAGAACCCAUCUGCCUUUUCUCCAAUGUGAGCAUUUCAGGGAGCCACCAUCAGCCUUGGGUUCAUGAGAGGAAGAAACCCCCAAAGACCAAUGCCUGGAGCCCACUUCUCCAGCGACACCUUCCCUCGCCAGAGCGGGCUCCUAGGAGUGCAUCGCAGGGGUGCCGGGUCCCUGCGCACGGGUUUGCUUUCUGAACAUUGCCCAUCAACACUGCCUUCAGGGAGUCCCAGA